rnacentral:rRNA from 1 species
UGCGUAGGGUGCGAGCGUUAAUCGGAAUUACUGGGCGUAAAGCGUGCGCAGGCGGUGAUGUAAGACAGUUGUGAAAUCCCCGGGCUCAACCUGGGAACUGCAUCUGUGACUGCAUCGCUGGAGUGCGGCAGAGGGGGAUGGAAUUCCGCGUGUAGCAGUGAAAUGCGUAGAGAUGCGGAGGAACACCGAUGGCGAAGGCAGCCCCCUGGGCCAAUACUGACGCUCAGGCACGAAAGCGUGGGGAGCAAACAGG